UACGAAGGGGGCUAGCGUUGCUCGGAAUCACUGGGCGUAAAGGGUGCGUAGGCGGGUCUUUAAGUCAGGGGUGAAAUCCUGGAGCUCAACUCCAGAACUGCCUUUGAUACUGAAGAUCUUGAGUCCGGGAGAGGUGAGUGGAACUGCGAGUGUAGAGGUGAAAUUCGUAGAUAUUCGCAAAAACACCAGUGGCGAAGGCGGCUCACUGGCCCGGUACUGACGCUGAGGCACGAAAGCGUGGGGAGCAAACAGG
rnacentral:rRNA from 1 species